GUGAAUCAUCGAAUCUUUGAACGCAAAUUGCACUCUCUGGUAUUCUGGCGAGUAUGCCUGUUUGAGGGUCAGUUUAAAUCUCAAUCGGUGUGGUUGCUGCCUUUCGUGGUGACGCACCGGUCUUGGGUUGUAUUGCCUUUGGCUACGUGACUCCAUAUCUUGCGUGACUUUCUUCGCACGUCUUUAAAUGAUUUUACGUACGUUUGCGAUCUCGAAUACUAGGUGUGGUCAUUCUCAUGAUUCGCGCCUAU
rnacentral:misc_RNA from 1 species